rnacentral:rRNA from 1 species
UACAGAGGUCUCAAGCGUUGUUCGGAUUCCUUGGGCGUAAAGGGUGCGUAGGCGGCGCGGUAAGUCGGGUGUGAAAUCUCGGGGCUUAACUCCGAAACUGCAUUCGAUACUGCCGUGCUUGAGGACUGGAGAGGAGACUCGAAUUUACGGUGUAGCGGUGAAAUGCGUAGAUAUCUGGAGGAACACCGGUGGCGAAGGCGGCAUCCUGGACCAAUAUUGACGCUGAGGAGCGAAAGCCAGGGGAGCAAACGGG